rnacentral:sRNA from 1 species
GUUUGCACUUGUCGGGGAAGGGUGAGAACCUUCGAUUAAGGUUCGACUCGAGCGAAAGCGAGAGAACGUUGGCAACGGCCCGUAGGGUGAGGAGCGAAGCGACGAAUAAUCCUUCCCCCACCACCA